rnacentral:rRNA from 1 species
CCUACGGGUGGCAGCAGUGGGGAAUAUUGGACAAUGGGCGAAAGCCUGAUCCAGCCAUGCCGCGUGUGUGAAGAAGGCCUUCGGGUUGUAAAGCACUUUCAGUGGGGAAGAAAGCCUUGGGGCUAAUACCCUCGAGGAAGGACAUCACCCACAGAAGAAGCACCGGCUAACUCCGUGCCAGCAGCCGCGGUAAUACGGAGGGUGCGAGCGUUAAUCGGAAUUACUGGGCGUAAAGCGCGCGUAGGCGGUCUGAUAAGCCGGUUGGGAAAGCCCCGGGCUCAACCUGGGAACGGCAUCCGGAACUGUCAGGCUAGAGUGCAGGAGAGGAAGGUAGAAUUCCCGGUGUAGCGGUGAAAUGCGUAGAGAUCGGGAGGAAUACCAGUGGCGAAGGCGGCCUUCUGGACUGACACUGACGCUGAGGUGCGAAAGCGUGGGUAGCAAACAGGAUUUAGAUACCCUAGUAGUC